UACGUAGGGGGCAAGCGUUGUCCGGAUUUAUUGGGCGUAAAGCGCUCGCAGGUGGUUCGUCGCGUCGUGCGUGAAAGACCCCGGCUCAACUGGGGAGGGUCGUGCGAUACGGGCGAACUGGAGGCCAGUAGGGGGAUGCGGAAUUCCGGGUGUAGUGGUGGAAUGCGUAGAGAUCCGGAGGAACACCAGCGGCGAAGGCGGCAUCCUGGACUGGUCCUGACACUCAGGGCGAAAGCGUGGGGAGCGAACCGG
rnacentral:rRNA from 1 species